AAAUAGGAAGCUAAAAAGCAUUUAAUUUCGACUUAAAAAUUGGGUAUUAAACUACCCCCUAUUUU
rnacentral:tRNA from 1 species